AUUGAACGCUGGCGGCAGGCUUAACACAUGCAAGUCGAGCGGAGAGAGGUAGCUUGCUACUGAUCUUAGCGGCGGACGGGUGAGUAAUGCUUAGGAAUCUGCCUAUUAGUGGGGGACAACAUUUCGAAAGGAAUGGUAAUACCGCAUACGUCCUACGGGAGAAAGCAGGUGAUCUUCGGACCUUGCGCUAAUAGAUGAGCCUAAGUCGGAUUAGCUAGUUGGUGGGGUAAAGGCCUACCAAGGCGACGAUCUGUAGCGGGUCGGAGAGGAUGAUCCGCCACACUGGGACUGAGACACGGCCCAGACUCCUACGGGAGGCAGCAGUGGGGAAUAUUGGACAAUGGGCGCAAGCCUGAUCCAGCCAUGCCGCGUGUGUGAAGAAGGCCUUAUGGUUGUAAAGCACUUUAAGCGAGGAGGAGGCUACUUUAGAUAAUACCUAGAGAUAGUGGACGUUACUCGCAGAAUAAGCACCGGCUAACUCUGUGCCAGCCGCCGCCGUAA
rnacentral:rRNA from 1 species